UGGGGAAUAUUGCACAAUGGGCGCAAGCCUGAUGCAGCCAUGCCGCGUGUGUGAAGAAGGCCUUCGGGUUGUAAAGCACUUUCAGCGAGGAGGAAGGUGGUGAACUUAAUACGUUCAUCAAUUGACGUUACUCGCAGAGGAAGCACCGGCUAACUCCGUGCCAGCGGCCGCGGUAAUACGGAGGGUGCAAGCGUUAAUCGGAAUUACUGGGCGUAAAGCGCACGCAGGCGGUUUGUUAAGUCAGAUGUGAAAUCCCCGGGCUCAACCUGGGAACUGCAUUUGAAACUGGCAAGCUAGAGUCUCGUAGAGGGGGGCUAGAAUUUCCAGGUGUAGCGGUGAAAUGCGUAGAGAUCUGGAGGAAUACCGGUGGCGAAGGCGCCCCCCUGGACGAAGACUGACGCUCAGGUGCGAAAGGCGUGGGGGCAGCAAACAGGAUUAGAUACCCUGGUA
rnacentral:rRNA from 1 species